rnacentral:RNase_P_RNA from 1 species
CCAGAGGGUCGGGCGACCGCGUCACACGAGUUGUGCCGAGGAAAGUCCGGGCUCCGCGGAACGACGGUGCCGGGUAACGCCCGGCGGGGGUGACCCCAGGGAAAGUGCCACAGAAAACAAACCGCCCAGGCUUCGGCCGGGCAAGGUCGAAACGGUGCGGUAAGAGCGCACCGCGCUUCCGGUAACGGCGGCGGCACGGCAAACCCCACCGGGAGCAACACCGAAUAGGGGCGGCAUAUGGGCGUGUUCCCGCCCGUCGCCCGGGUUGGUGGCUAGAAGCGGCGCGCGAGCGUCGCCCGAGAGGAAUGGUCGCCCAUCCCUCCUUCGCCACGGCUUCGCAGGGCCAGCCCUGCAAGGCUCAAGCGGAGCGGGGAGGACAGAACCCGGCUUACAGACCCUCUGGCCUU